rnacentral:rRNA from 1 species
ACGGGAGGCAGCAGUGGGGAAUAUUGCGCAAUGGGGGCAACCCUGACGCAGCAACGCCGCGUGAUUGAAGACGGUCUUCGGAUUGUAAAGAUCUUUUAUCAAGGACGAAACUCUGACGGUACUUGAUGAAUAAGCUCCGGCUAACUACGUGCCAGCAGCCGCGGUAAUACGUAGGGAGCAAGCGUUAUCCGGAUUUACUGGGUGUAAAGGGCGAGUAGGCGGGCUGGUAAGUUGGGAGUGAAAUGUCGGGGCUUAACCCCGGAACUGCUUUCAAAACUGCUGGUCUUGAGUGAUGGAGAGGCAGGCGGAAUUCCCAGUGUAGCGGUGAAAUGCGUAGAUAUUGGGAGGAACACCAGUGGCGAAGGCGGCCUGCUGGACAUUAACUGACGCUGAGGCGCGAAAGCGUGGGGAGCAAACAGGAUUAGAUACCCUGGUA